rnacentral:ribozyme from 1 species
AAUAAAAUAAAAUAAAUAAAUAAAUAAGUAAGUUCUAAUAUCACAAGGACAACAAAAGUAGGUUCGAAAAGUUAAGAUGGAAGAGCAAAUUUUGGUGGUGGAGGGGGAUUCCUACAUUUUUUGUUUUUUGUUUUUUUGUUGUCUCCUAGUGUGGG